UGCCAGACUCCUACGGGAGGCAGCAGUGGGGAAUAUUGCACAAUGGGGGAAACCCUGAUGCAGCGACGCCGCGUGAGCGAUGAAGUAUUUCGGUAUGUAAAGCUCUAUCAGCAGGGAAGAAAAUGACGGUACCUGACUAAGAAGCCCCGGCUAACUACGUGCCAGCAGCCGCGGUAAUACGUAGGGGGCAAGCGUUAUCCGGAUUUACUGGGUGUAAAGGGAGCGUAGACGGCUGUGCAAGCCAGAUGUGAAAGCCCGGGGCUCAACCCCGGGACUGCAUUUGGAACUGCGUGGCUGGAGUACGGGAGGGGCAGGCGGAAUUCCUGGUGUAGCGGUGAAAUGCGUAGAUAUCAGGAGGGACACCGGCGGCGAAGGCGGCCUGCUGGACCGUGACUGACGUUGAGGCUCGAGAGCGUGGGGAGCAAACAGGAUUAGAUACCCUUGUA
rnacentral:rRNA from 1 species